AUCCGAUUCACUUGGACUGCUGACACCCCUACUUUCCUUAGAGCCGGACUCAGACUUUGGUACUGGAUCGGGUGAGGUCCAGUCUCCAAUUGCACACGAACUUUGUGGCAAUCAAGAGUGGCCCGACACUUUCCCAAACAGAUUCAUGCCUAGGAUCAUCUCGUGAUUCUGUAGGCGCGUGGAUAUUUUUCUCGAUCAGAUCUACAGGCAGAUUUCUCUCCUGGAUCAUCACCGGGAUAUUUUUCAUGAGCCCUAGUGAAUGCAUUAUUUGCCCACCGCUGCCCUCACUAGUCUUGAAUCAUCCCCAGAACUCAGACAGAACUCUUUCCGACCAGUCCCGGACUCACAAAACUAUGUGUAGCCUC
rnacentral:lncRNA from 1 species